GGUCCCCCCUAUCGCACAUGGAAAUCCCUGACCCCCUACUGCGUAACAAGCGAACAUACUACGUGUAUCGGGUACCGCUGUCGAUUGGGAAGAAAUGUAUCAUGGCUAAUAUCCAUGAUACUUGACGGUACCGCUAAAGGAAGCACCGGCUAACUCCGUGCCAGCAGCCGCGGUAAUACGGGGGGUGCAAGCGUUGUUCGGAAUUAUUGGGCGUAAAGAGCGUGUAGGCGGCUGAAUAAGUCAGAUGUGAAAUCCCUGGGCUUAACCCAGGAAGUGCAUUUGAAACUAUUCAGCUUGAGUAGGGGAGAGGAAAGUGGAAUUCCUGGUGUAGAGGUGAAAUUCGUAGAUAUCAGGAGGAACACCGGUGGCGAAGGCGACUUUCUGGCCCUAUACUGACGCUGAGACGCGAGAGCGUGGGUAGCAAACAGGAUUAGAUACCCUGGUAGUCCACGCUGUAAACGAU
rnacentral:rRNA from 1 species